AGUGAACGCUGGCGGUAGGCCUAACACAUGCAAGUCGAACGGCAGCACAGUAAGAGCUUGCUCUUACGGGUGGCGAGUGGCGGACGGGUGAGGAAUACAUCGGACUCUACUUUUUCGUGGGGGAUAACGUAGGGAAACUUACGCUAAUACCGCAUACGCCCUACGGGGGAAAGCAGGGGAUCUUCGGACCUUGCGCGAUUGAAUGAGCCGAUGUCGGAUUAGCUAGUUGGCGGGGUAAAGGCCCACCAAGGCGACGAUCCGUAGCUGGUCUGAGAGGAUGAUCAGCCACACUGGAACGGAGACACGGUCCAGACUCCUAAGGGAGGCAGCAGUGGGGAAUAGUGGACAAUGGGGGCAAGCCUGAUCCAGCCAUACCGCGUGGGUGAAGAAGGCGUUCGGGUUGUAAAGACCUUUUGUUGGGAAAGAAAAGCAGCAGGUUAAUACCCCGCUGUUCUGACGGUACCCAAAGAAUAAGCACCGGCUAACUUCGUG
rnacentral:rRNA from 1 species